rnacentral:misc_RNA from 1 species
GUAGGUGAACCUGCGGAAGGAUCAUUUGAGUUUGUUUCCGUGUCUGUGCGCGGCUUUGUGGAUUCAUUUCCAUGAAUGCUCUACACUCUCACUGCAAACCCACUUUGAAAAGUCAACUGUGUGGAAGCGAAAUCUCUCACUGCUGAGCGUGCGUGCGUGCGUGCAAGCAUGUUGUGCUUUGUGACUGCGCGUUGCGUGUUGUGCUUUUUGUACAACACGCAGCCCGCACGUUGCGCUGCUCAUCAUAGUGCUGCUGCGCGCACUGCUCACUGUGUCGAUAUAUUUACAAACACGAUGGAUAAACCACUUAGUACACAACCAUGGCCAAAGGCGUACACACAAUACACAAAAAGUGAGUACAGUUUUAACGGUGGAUCUCUUGGCUCGU